rnacentral:rRNA from 1 species
UACGUAGGGUGCAAGCGUUGUCCGGAAUUACUGGGCGUAAAGCGCACGUAGGCGGAUUUGUAAGUCAGGGGUGAAAUCCCGGGGCUCAACCUCGGAACUGCCUUUGAUACUGCAAAUCUCGAGUCCGAUAGAGGUGGGUGGAAUUCCUAGUGUAGAGGUGAAAUUCGUAGAUAUUAGGAAGAACACCGGUGGCGAAGGCGGCCCACUGGAUCGGUACUGACGCUGAGGUGCGAAAGCGUGGGGAGCAAACAGG